rnacentral:rRNA from 1 species
GACGAACGCUGGCGGCGGGCCUAAUACAUGCAAGUCGAACGCAGUGGGGACGGGUGAGUAACACGUGGGUAACCUCCCAUCAGAGGGGAUAAAACUUGGAAACAGGUGCUAAACCGAUACUGAUGGAUGGAACCGCGGGGCAUUAUCUAGUUGGUGAGGUACCGGCUCACCAAGGCCAUGCUGCAUAGCCGACCUUGGAGGUUGAUCGGCCACACCGGGACUGAGAAAGGGCCCAGACUCCGACGUGAGGCAGCAGGAGGGAAUCUUCGGCAAUGGACGAUAGUCUGACCGAGCAACGCCGCGUGAGUGAAGAAGGUUUUCGGAUCGUAAAACUCUGGUGUUAGAGAAGCGGUAUCUAACCAGAAAGCCACGGCUAACUACGUGCCAGCAGCCGCGGUAAUAC